rnacentral:rRNA from 1 species
GACAGAGGGUGCAAACGUUGUUCGGAAUUACUGGGCGUAAAGCGCGUGUAGGCGGCUUAGCAAGUCGGAUGUGAAAGCCCUGGGCUUAACCCAGGAAGUGCACUCGAAACUGCUGAGCUUGAGUUCUGGAGAGGAAGGCGGAAUUCUCGGUGUAGAGGUGAAAUUCGUAGAUAUCGAGAGGAACACCGGUGGCGAAGGCGGCUUUCUGGACCGACACUGACGCUGAGGCGCGAAAGCUAGGGGAGCAAACGGG